GACGAACGCUGGCGGCGUGCUUAACACAUGCAAGUCGAACGGAAAGGCCCUGCUUUUGUGGGGUGCUCGAGUGGCGAACGGGUGAUUAACACGUGAGUAACCUGCCCUUGACUUUGGGAUAACUUCAGGAAACUGAGGCUAAUACAGGAUAGGAGCUCCUGCUGCAUGGUGGGGGUUGGAAAGUUUCGGCGGUUGGUGAUGGACUCGCGGCUUAUCAGCUUGUUGGUGGGGUAGUGUCUUACCAAGGCUUUGACGGGUAGCCGGCCUGAGAGGGUGACCGGCCAAAUUGGGAAUGAGGUACGGCCGGGAUCGCUAGGGGGGGGAGAAGGGGGGAAUAUGCACACAGGGGCGGGAGCCGAAUAGAGCACCGCCGGGUGGGGGAAUCAGGCGGUUGUGGGGGAAACCGAUUUCGCCUGUAAAGAAGGGUGAGGGGCGGGAAUGGGUAAAGAAGCACCGGUAAAUUACGG
rnacentral:rRNA from 1 species